GAUGAACGCUGGCGGCGUGCUUAACACAUGCAAGUCGAACGGUGAAGCUCCAGCUUGCUGGAGUGGAUCAGUGGCGAACGGGUGAGUAACACGUGAGCAACCUGCCCCUGACUCUGGGAUAACAGCCGGAAACGGCUGCUAAUACCGGAUAUGCACCAUGAACGCAUGUUCUGUGGUGGGAAAGAUUUUUCGGUUGGGGAUGGGCUCGCGGCCUAUCAGCUUGUUGGUGAGGUAAUGGCUCACCAAGGCGUCGACGGGUAGCCGGCCUGAGAGGGUGACCGGCCACACUGGGACUGCGACACGGCCCAGACUCCUACGGGAGGCAGCAGUGGGGAAUAUUGCACAAUGGGCGAAAGCCUGAUGCAGCAACGCCGCGUGCGGGAUGACGGCCUUCGGGUUGUAAACCUCUUUUAGCAGGGAAGAAGCGAGAGUGACGGUACCUGCAGAAAAAGCGCCGGCUAACUACGUG
rnacentral:rRNA from 1 species